UACGGGGGGGGCAAGCGUUGUUCGGAAUUACUGGGCGUAAAGGGCUCGUAGGCGGCCAACUAAGUCGGAUGUGAAAUCCCCAGGCUCAACCUGGGAACUGCAUCCGAUACUGGAUGGCUUGAAUCCGGGAGAGGGAUGCAGAAUUCCAGGUGUAGCGGUGAAAUGCGUAGAUAUCUGGAGGAACACCAGCGGCGAAGGCGGCGCUCUGGGCCGGUACUGACACUGAGGAGCGAAAGCGUGGGUAGCAAACAGG
rnacentral:rRNA from 1 species